rnacentral:tRNA from 1 species
GCGGACGUGGCGAAAUCGGUAGACGCAGCAGACUUAAAAUCUGCUUCUCUCUGAGAGUGCGGGUUCGAGUCCCGCCGUCCGCACCA